UGACUCUUUGUAUUGCCCAGCAGGGAGAGC
rnacentral:piRNA from 1 species